GUGGUCACCUGGAUUAGCCAACAAGCCACUCAAUCUCGACUUCAAGUAUAAAACUGUUAUGCCUUCUUUUCUCAGAUUCUGCCAAAUGUCCAGAAUUCCCUAUUGCAGUUGAUGCUACGGCAUUCUUCUUAGAGUUUGACUAGUUUUAUGUACUAUUCAUUCCCAAGCAAAGGUGACACAUGGCACGAUGGGAAUCGAUUCUGCUUUAACAGCAAGUGACGCCAGUGGAUUUUUAGCAUGUGACACAAGAGGAAGGCUAAUAGAGAAUAUACUCAAUUCAGAACAGAGUCUUGGAAAUUACUUGAGGUACAGCAGCCAGAGUCCCACCCUGCACUUUCCUUCUUAUUAUAGAAAUCCAUGAAGGACUGGACUGUUGGGGGUUGGGGUGGACUGUGAAUGGAUGGAAAAUCUGGAGAGACGUGACCCAGAGACUGGACACAUGGCUCAGGUCUAUAAUUCCUACCUAAAGGACAAAGGCCAUUCUGAACUGAAA
rnacentral:lncRNA from 1 species